rnacentral:rRNA from 1 species
CCUACGGGCGGCAGCAGUGAGGAAUCUUGGUCAAUGGCCGAGAGGCUGAACCAGCCAAGUCGCGUGAGGGAAGACGGCCCUACGGGCUGUACACCUCUUUUGUCGUGGAGCAAAGCGAACCACGUGUGGUUCCUUGAGAUUACCCGAAGAAAAAGCAUCGUCUAACUCCGUGCCAGCAGCCGCGGUAAUACGGAGGGUGCGAGCGUUAUGCGGUUUUAUUGGGUUUAAAGGGUGCGCAGGCGGAGGUGCACGUCAGCGGUCAAAUUGCGGGGCUCAACCCCGUACUGCCGUUGAAACUGCAUCCCUUGAGUGCGCGAGAAGUAUGCGGAAUGCGAUGUGUAGCGGUGAAAUGCAUAGAUAUCACGCAGAACUCCGAUUGCGAAGGCAGCAUACCGGCGCGCAACUGACGCUCAUGCACGAAAGCGUGGGUAUCGAACAGGAUUAGAUACCCCUGUAGUC